UACAUGGGGUGCAAACGUUGCUCGGAAUUAUUGGGCGUAAAGCGCGCGUAGGCGGUUACUCAAGUCGGAUGUGAAAGCCCUUGGCUCAACUGAGGAAGUGCAUCCGAAACUGGCAGGCUAGAGUACUAAAGAGGGUCGCGGAAUUCCCGGUGUAGAGGUGAAAUUCGUAGAUAUCGGGAGGAACACCGGUGGCGAAGGCGGGUCUCUGGGCCGAUACUGACGCUGAGGAGCGAAAGCGUGGGGAGCGAACAGG
rnacentral:rRNA from 1 species